UCCCUACUGGCUCAGACAGUAAAGUGUCAGCCUACAAUGCUGGAGACCUGAGUUUGAUCCCUGGGUUGGGAA
rnacentral:tRNA from 1 species